rnacentral:rRNA from 1 species
AACGCGAAGAACCUUACCCACUCUUGACAUCUUCUGCAAAGCUAUAGAGAUAUAGUGGAGGUUAACAGAAUGACAGAUGGUGCAUGGUUGUCGUCAGCUCGUGCCGUGAGGUGUUUGGUUAAGUCCAGCAACGAGCGCAACCCUUGUCUUUAGUUACUAACAUUUAGUUGAGGACUCUAGAGAAACUGCCUGGGUAACCAGGAGGAAGGUGAGGACGACGUCAAACCAUCAUGCCUCUUACGAGUGGGGCAACACACGUGCUACAAUGGUUGGUACAAAGAGAAGCAAUAUGGUGACAUGGAGCAAAUCUCAAAAAACCAAUCUCAGUUCGGAUUGAAGUCUGCAACUCGACUUCAUGAAGUCGGAAUCGCUAGUAAUCGUAGAUCAGCUACGCUACGGUGAAUACGUUCUCGGGUCUUGUACACACGC